rnacentral:rRNA from 1 species
CCCCUAGAUGUUCUGGGCCGCACGCGCGCUACACUGAACAGUUCAACAAGUCUUAACCUUGGCCGAUAGGUCUGGGUAAUCUUUGAACGCUGUUCGUGAUUGGGAUAGACCUUUGCAAUUAUGGGUCUUCAACGAGGAAUUCCUAGUAAACGCAAGUCAUCAGCUUGCAUUGAUUACGUCCCUGCCCUUUGUAUACACCGCCCGUCGCACCUACCGAUUGAAUGGUCCGGUGAAAUCUCGGGACGGCGGCUUGGUCGCUUGCGUCCGACUGCUGAAACUUGAUUAAACCAUAUCAUUUAGAGGAAGGUGAANUCGUANCA